AAUACAACAACAAAUCCACAAUAAAAGAAAAUGAUAACACACACAAAACAACCACAAAAAGGUGAACAAAAAGAUAGUAAGAGUAAAAAAUCUCAAAAAAAAGUUAGUAAACCAAAGUCAAACAUUUUUGUAAGCUUGAAUCUAAAUCAUCUCAAAAGAUCAACCAAGAACAAGCAACCAUUUUUAAUUUAAAAAAAUGAACCGAAAAGUUAAAAAGUUUAAGUUAAAAUCAUUACCCACAAAAUAUGAAAAAAAGGCUAGGUAGAAAUGGUGUUGAGUUUGAAUGUGAAGCAAUGGGUUUGGGAUGAAAAUAUUUAUGGUGAAAGCUUAGUAAAGGGGUUGAGUUAUGAGUGUUAGAGAGUGAGAAAUUUUGAGGAAAAAAAUAUGAAAAUGGAAAAAAGUUGGUGGUGGUGACUUUUGGGAGAGAAAGGUUUUUUUUGUUUUGAUUUAGGUUUGGAGAAGAGGGGUUGGAUGAUAUUUUUUCAGAAUUUUUGGGGGCUAGUAAGAAUGAAAAAUGAGGGGGAAU
rnacentral:lncRNA from 1 species